rnacentral:rRNA from 1 species
AGAGUUUGAUCAUGGCUCAGAUUGAACGCUGGCGGCAGGCCUAACACAUGCAAGUCGAACGGUAACAGGAAACAGCUUGCUGUUUCGCUGACGAGUGGGCGGACGGGUGAGUAAUGUCUGGGAAACUGCCUGAUGGAGGGGGAUAACUACUGGAAACGGUAGCUAAUACCGCAUAACGUCGCAAGACCAAAGAGGGGGACCUUCGGGCCUCUUGCCAUCGGAUGUGCCCAGAUGGGAUUAGCUUGUUGGUGGGGUAACGGCUCACCAAGGCGACGAUCCCUAGCUGGUCUGAGAGGAUGACCAGCCACACUGGAACUGAGACACGGUCCAGACUCCUACGGGAGGCAGCAGUGGGGAAUAUUGCACAAUGGGCGCAAGCCUGAUGCAGCCAUGCCGCGUGUAUGAAGAAGGCCUUCGGGUUGUAAAGUACUUUCAGCGGGGAGGAAGGGAGUAAAGUUAAUACCUUUGCUCAUUGACGUUACCCGCAGAAGAAGCACCGGCUAACUCCGUGCCAGCAGCCGCGGUAAUACGGAGGGUGCAAGCGUUAAUCGGAAUUACUGGGCGUAAAGCGCACGCAGGCGGUUUGUUAAGUCAGAUGUGAAAUCCCCGGGCUCAACCUGGGAACUGCAUCUGAUACUGGCAAGCUUGAGUCUCGUAGAGGGGGGUAGAAUUCCAGGUGUAGCGGUGAAAUGCGUAGAGAUCUGGAGGAAUACCGGUGGCGAAGGCGGCCCCCUGGACGAAGACUGACGCUCAGGUGCGAAAGCGUGGGGAGCAAACAGGAUUAGAUACCCUGGUAGUCCACGCCGUAAACGAUGUCGACUUGGAGGUUGUGCCCUUGAGGCGUGGCUUCCGGAGCUAACGCGUUAAGUCGACCGCCUGGGGAGUACGGCCGCAAGGUUAAAACUCAAAUGAAUUGACGGGGGCCCGCACAAGCGGUGGAGCAUGUGGUUUAAUUCGAUGCAACGCGAAGAACCUUACCUGGUCUUGACAUCCACGGAAGUUUUCAGAGAUGAGAAUGUGCCUUCGGGAACCGUGAGACAGGUGCUGCAUGGCUGUCGUCAGCUCGUGUUGUGAAAUGUUGGGUUAAGUCCCGCAACGAGCGCAACCCUUAUCCUUUGUUGCCAGCGGUCCGGCCGGGAACUCAAAGGAGACUGCCAGUGAUAAACUGGAGGAAGGUGGGGAUGACGUCAAGUCAUCAUGGCCCUUACGACCAGGGCUACACACGUGCUACAAUGGCGCAUACAAAGAGAAGCGACCUCGCGAGAGCAAGCGGACCUCAUAAAGUGCGUCGUAGUCCGGAUUGGAGUCUGCAACUCGACUCCAUGAAGUCGGAAUCGCUAGUAAUCGUGGAUCAGAAUGCCACGGUGAAUACGUUCCCGGGCCUUGUACACACCGCCCGUCACACCAUGGGAGUGGGUUGCAAAAGAAGUAGGUAGCUUAACCUUCGGGAGGGCGCUUACCACUUUGUGAUUCAUGACUGGGGUGAAGUCGUAACAAGGUAACCGUAGGGGAACCUGCGGUUGGAUCACCU